GACGAACGCUGGCGGCGUGCCUAAUACAUGCAAGUUGAGCGCUGAAGGUUGGUACUUGUACCAACUGGAUGAGCAGCGAACGGGUGAGUAACGCGUGGGGAAUCUGCCUUUGAGCGGGGGACAACAUUUGGAAACGAAUGCUAAUACCGCAUAAAAACUUUAAACACAAGUUUUAAGUUUGAAAGAUGCAAUUGCAUCACUCAAAGAUGAUCCCGCGUUGUAUUAGCUAGUUGGUGAGGUAAAGGCUCACCAAGGCGAGGAUACAUAGCCGACCUGAGAGGGUGAUCAGCCACAUUGGGACUGGGACACGGCCCAAACUCCUACGGGAAGCAGCAGUAGGGAAUCUUCGGGAAUGGACGAAAGUCUGACCGAGAAACGCCGCGUGAGUGAAGAAGGUUUUCGGAUCGUAAAACUCUGUUGGUAGGGAAGAACGUUGGUGAGAGUGGAAAGCUCAUCAAGUGACGGUAACUACCCAGAAAGGAACGGCUAACUACGUG
rnacentral:rRNA from 1 species